rnacentral:lncRNA from 1 species
GUCUGUUUAGUCCUAUUAAUUUAUAAAUCGUGUUUUGUUUUGUUUUUUGUAAAAAAUAAUAAUAUAAAAAAUGCAUGUAAACUCAGAUGAACAACAUCGGAUUAAAUAGCCUUAAUGUAAGAUAUUUUGCAUCAACUUGAAUCAUGUGGCUUUGAAAAAGAUCAAAGCGUGUAUAGGUGAUAUAUUUUCGCAAGGUUGAUCAUCAUUCUUUUAUUGAAAGUAUCAUCUAAAAACAAGCACUUUUAUUUUAGACGCCCGUCAUACCCUUUUCACGUCUUAAUG